GUCGGCGCGUCAGGGGCUACUUGUACAGGCUCAUGGUGGGGCUCUGGUACAUGCACAUGUAGGCGUCGCACAGCAGCCGUCGGGCCUGGCCUUGGAUGCUCUUGGGGUCGAGCGUGUGCAGCUCCUCGGGCGUCAUCUUCAGAAUUGCUUAAUCUUGCCCGCCGUGAUGUCGCCGUCGUCAUAGCAGUCUCGGCACUCAAAGAGGGCCAGGCCUCCGCAGAUGCGACAUUCCCUGGGAGCUGGAAGGUAAGAAAGAAAAAAAAGUCUUUGGCAUAUGUGUGCGCAGACUUUGUUUCGCUUGGGCCAUGGCGACAACUCAGUGGAGUUUUAUUACAAAGUAAAAAGACAGACGAGCAAGACACACACUCACACGCACGAACGCACGCAUAAAAGCAGUCGGCUCCGACUCACUGUCUUCCAGAAGAUCUGUGAUGUCUAACUCCAGCGAGGGGAAAAUCUUGUUGAACAUUUUGAAGUCCUUGCCAAAGCGCGGCAUCUGGAUGAUAAGGCAGGAGGGAGCCUGAGGGGCGAGAAAAACAGAGGCGAGGGAAAGCUUAUUAUCGUCCUGCACAAAAGCAACACCGACCAAAGUAGAGGGGGUGUUUACAAUUAAAACACGCAGGACCCAGCGAUCUCGCACGCUCCGUUUCUUGUUCAGACUGGCUAUCUGAUCACUAAGGGGAGGCUGCUUUACAUCGAGGAUGUGUUGUGUAGGAUUGCGGCCCGUUUAAGAUCCGCCGGUGGGAAAACAGGCCAGACGGUUUAUCAGUCUGGAAACGUUUCCUACUCGCUAGUCCGCACUGUUGCCUUGAUGACUGAUGGUUCCACGAGAAGUCGAAGACGACCAAACCGUCUCUCAAGUUGAUACCCAAGUCCAAAAAUUGUUGCGUAACAUUGAGGCAACAAUGCCAAAACCUUUGGAAAACUCACCUCGGCAAACUUGAGGUCGCUGUUGAUGAACGACCACUCCAGUAGCUGCUGGAUGGUUGGGACACCAACCUUGUCUUUUUUGUCCAUGAAGAUCUGGUAAAAGUAACAGUCUUGCACCUUCUGUCCCGCCGACCUGCAUAAUUAAGUUCAUUUUUUUUCCUUUAUACUGUGUUCAAAACUACUGAAUCUUGUUUCCAAUGUCUAUUGAAAUCACUGAUAUCUCAGAUAACAGAACUUAUGCUGAGAUGACUUCGACUAUGAUCUUGCAUUUCCUCUUUGGGCCACUAGGUGAAGCUCAAGCUCAGCAACAUUUACCUUAGUUUGAGCAAAGGGUCCACCCGCAAUAUGUGAUGGAAUAGUAUAUUGAGGAACUCCUCUGGAUCUGCAGCACAAGAUGUGACUCAAUUAGUAAGAGGACAAUCAGAAGGGCAACACAAGAUCUUGCCUUUUUCUUCAGAGGUGAAGCCAGACGCAGCUUCUACUUUCUCCAGGAUCCUCCUGAGUUUCAUCACUUUGGUGGCACACACAUACCCGUGUCUGAGUGAAAACCAGAAGCAUUGUGGGAGGUGACUUUAUAAUAGGCAAAAAAAGAAACUUUUAUUGACCGCACUCACAUGCGCAGGGGGUUGACUAUCUCAGUGCGCAACAGUUCUUGGGUCUCUCUGUAAUACUCCACGUCCGUCUUUGAGCGCGGCCUCAGCAGAACUGUGUCCAGUACGGAGCUGAAGGAAAAGAGACUGCACGACAAGGGAAAGUUUGAUAUCAUUGUUUGAACAAGUCGGUGAUUAUCAAUACUGAGGCUCAUGGAAACAUGUGAUACCACAUUGAUUGUGACCCAAACAGACAUGCAUUCUUUUCAGAAUCAAAUCUUAUUUCUGUACAGAAAUAAUUCCAACCAAAAGCAAGCCCUCUGGCGGGUGAACAAGCCAAAGUCAACACCAUUCACUUAUCAGGCCCUGCCUAAGGGCAGCACGCUUGAACAAAGAAACUCCGCCAUCUUUGAUCACUACGGCAGAAAUCCAACAAAUAAAUGGUGAGUUUGAAAUGCAAAAAAGAGCGCUGACCAGAAGAGGGUUGAAUCCAAGUAGCACGAGUUGUAGUGGCCCUGGAUGCCUUUCUUCUUGCCGACCAUGAUGUCGAGACCAUCCGUCUCGCUGCGGGGCGGCGUGUUCUCGUGUACCACCUCGCUUAAAUAGCCCCCGAAAGCUGUGUGAAGGGACACAGUUAGUUGGCUCAGAGGUCCCGCAUCGUUCUACUGUCCUUUCUCUGCCGGUCCAAAAUACAACGGGUGCGUGGCUUUACGACAAGAGGUGACGGAAAAAAUUACUCUGAAAACGGCGUUGAAGAUGACGACGGAUGACUCACCGAUCGAGUUGCAGCGCUCGAUGGGGUUGGAGGAGUGGUGCAGCGACGGGAAGCGGGAGUCGGGCCGGCAGCACUUGAGCUUCACGAAGAGGGCCUUCUUAGGCGGGCAGUUGAAGUAGCGCGUACCUUUGAAGGUGCCAUCGGUGCAACCCGGGCACUCCUCUUCCUGAAAUAUGCCAAGCCGAUAAAUAUUUGGGGGGAAACCGGCGCGCUUGUGUGCCACAGGAUUUUCAAAACGUACGCUAGACUCGUUCAUGGAUGAGGUUAAGAAAAAUAUCUAGACAAAAUGUAUGGAGUGAUUUAAAUUAAUCCAAUUUUGCACACUCCUUUAUUACUAGCACACUAUUAGCUCACACUCUGCCCACCCUUGGUGAUGUGGUGUGUUCUCACCAGUUCCAGCCCAGCCAGUGGCUCCAACAAGCCUGGUGGCAGACCCACCCAGCGAAUGACACCACACAGAGGGGGAUUCUCUUUCACCUCCACCAGGGAGCCCACCUCAAGACCCGGCUGCCCUCUGGUAGGGGUGGCAGGCCGCGGCGACGAGGGAGCGGUGGGCGAAGGUGCCUCGGCGUGCUCCCCCAUUACCGACUGGACAGACAGGGAGAGCGGUCCGUGGCUCAUGUUGUCGACGGGCCCGCUCUUGCGGUUCAGGCUGAAGGGGAGGGAGUGGAAUUUGUUGUCGCUAGCCAACGAGGCGGGCGGCGGCGCCCUAAUGGGUGGGGGGGACUGGUUGAAGUCGGGGGGAGUUUCGGUGAGCGACUUUGCUGGGUCCUCCCCAACUGAAGGACAGACAGAAGACAAGACAUGUAAAAGGAGGCAAAAAAACAUGUCGGACACAAUUUACAAAUGACAACAAAUGGAACAUGAGGAUGAGGAAAGUCCAUGUCAAGAUGGGUUUUUCCCGCCAUCUAGAGGAUGAUUGGAGAACGUCAUGCACCCUGGCAGCUGGUUUGUAUGACAUGCUGAGGACGUCUGCCAGGUUUGAGGUUGCACUCUCAACUCAUGGCCUCCCUGUGCGGGACUUGCAUGUUCUCCAGAAGCUUAUGUGGCUUUUCUAUUGCUUCCUCCCGAAUUACAACAUGCAAGAUUGGUUCAUUGACUUUUUUGUAUUUUUACAGCAUUAAGCAGAAACAAAUUUGAAUGAGGAAAAAAAAAUCCUCCGUUGUAUGCAUAUAAAUAAAGAGCAUCUGCAAGAUGUCCAGAUAUGCUAAUCAAAACAUGCCCGAUAAGUCACUCAACUAAACACCUCGAGGUCACCACCUGUUUAUGAGUCACUGCUGACAUUCACAUUACAGGUCUGCAUUCUAAUGUUGGUGUGAAUGAAUGCAAAAAAAAUAAAUUAAAUAAACUACUGCUACAUUGAGACAAGGCAUUUAUGAAAAUGAAAAAACAUGUCAUCUAAUAAACACAUCAAGACACAGGGAGUGAAAUUCUCUGGCAAGUACAGGUCAGGUAAUACAUGACAAAAAUGAUUCUCAACACCAAUGGAAAUACGUAAAAAAAAAAAAAAAAAGAAACAAUGUGCACCUCUGACAUCAGACUUUUACAAAUGCUUUGGCCACUAAUUAUUUUCUAAUUGAUCAAACGCUUCUGUAUUUAAUUUAGAGCACUAAGCAUGAAUAAAAGCCUGUACAUCAACACCGAUAGCACCGUGCAAGAUGAACGUGACGCGAACAAUGGUGAAUAAGGGGACGGGACUGCUGGAGAAUGUCUUGGUGGCAAGCCGCAGCGACUGACUGAGCAUGUUGUUGGCUAUGUGAUGAUUUCAUGUUACGAGAACAGGCGAGUGCACUUCACGCCGCUUUAAAAAAAUUGGGAAAAAUCAUUGAAGAGCCCCACGUUUACAAUGACAUUCAUGUUGUGAUUGUAACUAUUUGUAAAAAAAUAUAUUUAGUCAAUCACGUAGCAUUUCGGAAAAAGCCAAAAAGAUGCUCGUUCGGAAGCAGGAGCUUGCCAGCAAGACGGUGGGCGUUCAACGAGUGGCCACGUGUUACCUUCGUCAAUGUACCAUGUGCUUUUGGAUUUGGACUGCACUGGGGGGUCAACAGAGCUGCCAUUUAAAGUAUAGUAAAACUCUGACUUGCUCCUACUGCUGCACUGAUGAGCUAAUCCUGGAAAUAACACCACAACACAGAUGCAGAAUAAAUUGGAAAGUGUACGUGUGGGUGUGUGCAUCUCUGUGUGUGCGUGUGUUGCAAGAUUACAGCGCGGAGACAAAGUCCAUGUUAGCACUGACAAGGAGCUAAAAUGUUCAUUUCAAAGGAAAAACUUUUUUUUUUUUUUUUUUGGAGUACCUUUGCUCUUUGGUUUACUUUGGCCAGAAGACGACUUGUCGUUGUUGUUGCCUCUGGAAGCAAAAGUGUGCUUUUGCAGCCUUUGGUCCUGCACGGAAUAUU